GUCAGCCUUCUGCAGCACAUAUACUAAAAUUGGAACGAUACAGAGAAGAUUAGCAUGGCUAAUUAGCAUGACACACAAAUUCGUGAAGCGUUCCAAAAAAUA